UGUAUCUAGACUGGUCCCAGAUCUGUGGUGAGGUUUCUAAAUGUGGUGUAGCUACAGACUGUAAUGUAUCUAGAGACUGGUCCCAGAUCUGUGGUGAGGUUUCUAAAUGUGGUGUAGCUACAGACUGUAAUGUAUCUAGAGACUGGUCCCAGAUCUGUGGUGAGGUUUCUAAAUGUGGUGUAGCUACAGACUGUAAUGUAUCUAGAGACUGGUCCCAGAUCUGUGGUGAGGUUUCUAAAUGUGGUGUAGCUACAGACUGUAAUGUAUCUAGAGACUGGUCCCAGAUCUGUGGUGAGGUUUCUAAAUGUGGUGUAGCUACAGACUGUAAUGUAUCUAGAGACUGGUCCCAGAUCUGUGGUGAGGUUUCUAAAUGUGGUGUAGCUACAGACUGUAAUGUAUCUAGAGACUGGUCCCAGAUCUGUGGUGAGGUUUCUAAAUGUGGUGUAGCUACAGACUGUAAUGUAUCUAGAGACUGGUCCCAGAUCUGUGGUGAGGUUUCUAAAUGUGGUGUAGCUACAGACUGUAAUGUAUCUAGAGACUGGUCCCAGAUCUGUGGUGAGGUUUCUAAAUGUGGUGUAGCUACAGACUGUAAUGUAUCUAGAGACUGGUCCCAGAUCUGUGGUGAGGUUUCUAAAUGUGGUGUAGCUACAGACUGUAAUGUAUCUAGAGACUGGUCCCAGAUCUGUGGUGAGGUUUCUAAAUGUGGUGUAGCUACAGACUGUAAUGUAUCUAGAGACUGGUCCCAGAUCUGUGGUGAGGUUUCUAAAUGUGGUGUAGCUACAGACUGUAAUGUAUCUAGAGACUGGUCCCAGAUCUGUGGUAGGUAUGAAUGUUAAAUCCGAGGCAACAGCAAACUUGUAUUUCUGCAUUGUGUUCCCUUUCCCAGUACAGUAUUGGACUCCACUAUUGUACUGUCAAACAUGACAUGUGACAAUGACCAUGGGAGUUGACUUGGCAAAUCUGGAACCAGGAAAGGCUGGAAAUAUUUGGGGGAUUUCUGAAGCUGCCAUUUUCCACCUAAACCCAUGCUUAACACAUUUACCAUCCAACCCUCUCUCUCUCUCUCUCUCUCUCUCUCUCUCUCUCUCUCUCUCUCUCUCUCUCUCUCUCUCUCUCUCUCUCUCUCUCUCUCUCUCUCUCUCUCUCUCUCUCUCUCUCAGGCCUGUUCCUCUGUGCUAUAUCUGUCUCUUAUCAGACCUGGCUCUCUCACAGCCCCUCUCCUCUCUCCUC